GUGCUCAUGUCAGCAGCACAGACACUAAAAUUGGAAUGAUACAAACAAAAUGAGCAUGGCCCCUGCACAAGGAUGACAUGCAAAUUUGGAAAGCGUUUCAUAUUUUU